rnacentral:rRNA from 1 species
AUGCACGCUGGCGGCGUGCCUCAUCCCUGCCAGUCGCGCGAACAGACGAGGAGCUUUCUCCUCUGACGUUCGCGGCGGACGGGUGAGUAACACGUGGAUAACCUACCUAUAAGACUGGGAUAACUUCGGGAAACCGGAGCUAAUACCGGAUAAUAUAUUGAACCGCAUGGUUCAAUAGUGAAAGACGGUUUUGCUGUCACUUAUAGAUGGAUCCGCGCCGCAUUAGCUAGUUGGUAAGGUAACGGCUUACCAAGGCGACGAUGCGUAGCCGACCUGAGAGGGUGAUCGGCCACACUGGAACUGAGACACGGUCCAGACUCCUACGGGAGGCAGCAGUAGGGAAUCUUCCGCAAUGGGCGAAAGCCUGACGGAGCAACGCCGCGUGAGUGAUGAAGGUCUUCGGAUCGUAAAACUCUGUUAUUAGGGAAGAACAAAUGUGUAAGUAACUAUGCACGUCUUGACGGUACCUAAUCAGAAAGCCACGGCUAACUACGUG